UCACAGGUGGUCUAGCGGUUAUGAUGCCCAUAUUUCACUUUUGUGUUCGUGGGUGAGCGGGGUUCGACUCCUCGUCUGGGGC